rnacentral:rRNA from 1 species
AGAGCGAACGCUGGCGGCAGGCCUAACACAUGCAAGUCGAGCGCCCGUAGCAAUACGGGAGCGGCAGACGGGAUAGUAACACGUGGGAACGCGCCCUUCGGUUCGGAAUAACUCAGGGAAACUUGAGCUAAUACCGAAUACGCCCUUACGGGGAAAGAUUUAUUGCCGAAGGAACGGCCCGCGUCCGAUUAGCUAGUUGGUGAGGUAAUGGCUCACCAAGGCUACGAUCGGUAGCUGGUCUGAGAGGAUGACCAGCAUCACUGGGACUGAGACACGGCCCAGACUCCUACGGGAGGCAGCAGUGGGGAAUAUUGGACAAUGGCGCAAGCCUGAUCCAGCCAUGCCGCGUGGAUGAUGAAGGCCUUAGGUUGUAAAGUCUUUAACGGGAAGAUAAUGACGGUACCCGUAGAAUAAGCCCGGCUAACUUCGUGCCAGCAGCCGC